AUAGCGUAUAUUAAAGUUGUUGCAGUUAAAAAGCUCGUAGUUGAAACUUGGGUCUGGCUAGCGGGUCCGCCUCACCGCGUGCACUUGUCCGGCUGGACCUUUCCUUCUGGAGAACCUCAUGCCCUUCACUGGGUGUGUUGGGGAACCAGGACUUUUACUUUGAAAAAAUUAGAGUGUUCAAAGCAGGCCUUUGCUCGAAUACGUUAGCAUGGAAUAAUAGAAUAGGACGUGCGGUCCUAUUUUGUUGGUUUCUAGAGUCGCCGUAAUGAUUAAUAGGGAUAGUUGGGGGCAUUGGUAUUGAGUCGCUAGAGGUGAAAUUCUUGGAUUGACUCAAGACCAACUAUUG
rnacentral:rRNA from 1 species